CCGGUCCCCCCGGCCCCCCCCUACUUCUCCGCCUCGCUCUCUCUGUUUCAAUCUCUGCUUCAAAUGAAGAGCUUCCUUGGACUUGGAGUACCGGGUAUCAGUAGAAAAAAAGCCCGUUAUCCCACUCUGCCCCUGCUGCUGCUGCGGCGCUGCUGCCUGUGAGCGCGUCCUCUCAUUGCAUUGGAAUAUACAGCGUGCCUAUAUGCGCAAAACCAUGGAGAUUAUAUGACGUGGAUUUAUUUUUGGUACAAAACUGGACAUCUACAAAAGCGACGUUCCUUCUUCUUUUCAUUUCCCCCCCUCCCACCCCUCACCCCCCAAUGCCUUUUUGUUUUUGCGUUCUUCUAUUCUGUUCUUUCGUUUGACCCAUGGCUACUUUAUGAUUUCAUGUCCUUAGCGAUCCCUCCUUAUUUUUAUUUAUUUAUUUUUUACACUUAUUAUUUUUUGGUCCGUUUCGGAGGCGCAGAAGUGGAAUGCCUCGCAGAGAACAUUUGUGGGAAGAAGAUUCCGCCGCGGCGAGGGUGAAUGAAUGAUAGUCUCCCUCUCCAUCUGAGACGUGCCAUGGAUGGGAAACUUAAUUUGUAUCCACGGAACCGAUCGGGGAAUAGCCGACGCAUCAAAUAACUACUGCUGACAGCGAUCAGGACGAAUGUCAUAGGAUGAACACUGCUGGUGGGGUGUGUCUGUCUGUGCUGUCCUCUCUCCUGGCUGUGGCUGGGGCCCUGGCUGCCGUGUCUGCCCUCGCUCUAGCUCCUCUCUCUGCCCUGGCUGAGGCUGCCUAUGGGGUUGCCGAUGGCGUCCCCAGCACCGGGGCAGAAGGGGCCCCCUCGCCCAUCUCCUCACCAUGCUCCAGCCUGGUAGCUGGGGUGCUCUAUGGCUCUUUCUCCCUAAGGGAGCUCUUUCCCUCCAGGGCGCCUGGCUGUUCCUGGUCCCUGGAAAACCCAGAUCCCACCAAGUACUCCCUCUACCUCCGCUUCACCCGCCACCCUAUCAUUUGCCGGACACACUCCCCCAUGCUCCUUUCCCUUGACCACCACCUGGCCAAUCAAAGCUGUCCCCUUCAAUUACAGACAGCCACUGCCAGGGAUCAGGAAGUCAUUGAUCUUUGUGGCAGUCAGUCCAACUCAGAUGGACCAUACUCCUUCCUACAGUUUGAUAAGAACUUUGUCCAACUAUGUCUAACGAGACAUCCAUCUGCAGAUGAGCCUCAGGUAACUAAGGAAUUGCUGGAGCUGAGACUGGUAGAGGUGUUACUCAUUAACAAUGAGAACUCCAGUCAGUUUACCUGCGGCGUGCUCUGCAGAUGGUUUGAGGAGUGUUUACGCACAGGUCACAAUGGAGACCAGGAGGUUUCUGACGGAGACGGUUGUGGGAUGACCCAGACAGGAUGUAUCUGUCCGAACCACAACAUCAUGGCACCACCUAUUCCGUUGCUCCCGGAGACACCCCACAGCUUCAGCAAUGGUUCGCUGGUUCCAGACGACUGCUGUGUCACUGAGCUGCAUUCCAAUGAAGCAAUCGCCAUAGCACCCAGAGAUGUCCGACAAGAUCCAUAUGACGAUGACCUGAAGGUGAAGACCCAAAGACCACGAUCAGCUGACCAGCCAGGUGUGUUUCAGGCACAAACAGGUGACCCUGCAGCAGAGGAGUGGUCGCAGUGGAGUGUGUGCUCUCUCACAUGUGGGCAAGGCUGGCAAGUGAGGACGCGAUCAUGUGUUUCCUCUCCCUAUGGGACACUGUGCAGCGGCGCCCUGCGAGAAACACGCAUGUGCAACAACACUGCUUCCUGUCCAGGUGAACCUGGGAUAACAGGCUCAGUGCAUGGGCUGUGGGAGGAGUGGUCGUCAUGGAGUCUGUGCUCUGUGACCUGUGGGCGGGGCUCCAGGACGCGAACCAGGAAGUGUGUGAACGGAGGCGGGGCCGUGGCUUGUGGACGGCCCGACAUUCAGACCAAACUCUGCAACAUAGCAGUGUGUCCUGUGGAGGGCCAGUGGUUGGAGUGGGGGCCGUGGUCGGGAUGCAGUGUGACUUGUAACACGGGGACCCAGGAGAGGCAGAGGCGCUGCAGUGCGUCGGUGCACGGCUGGGCUGAAUGUAAGGGCCUUCAUCAGGAGAGCAGAGAAUGCACCAACCCUUCCUGCAGUGGUGGAGGUAACUGGGGCAGCUGGAACCACUGGAGUCUCUGCAGCAAGACGUGUGAUUCCGGUUGGCAACGCCGCUUCAGGAUGUGUGAGGGCACUGGAAUACAGGGCUACCCCUGCGAUGGCUCAGGAGAGGAAGUCCGGUCCUGUAAUGAGAAAAAAUGCCCUGCUCCUCAUGAGAUAUGUAAAGACGAGCACCUACUCUCUAUGUCAUGGAAGAGAGCCUCAGCUGGGGAAACGGUCUACAACAAGUGUCCAACUAACGCCACUGGAUCUGCUAGUCGUCGUUGCAUGCUGGACAAUAAUGGAGUUGCUUUCUGGGGUCCUCCGAGCUUCGCCAGAUGCGUCUCACUUGAAUAUAGAUAUUUACAUUUAUCUUUACGAGAGCAUCUCGCGAAGGGUCAGAGGACCCUGGCUGGGGAGGGCAUGUCUCAGAUCGUAAGGAGUCUCCUGGAGCUCUUGCAGAGGAGGAGCUACUACAGUGGCGACCUUCUCUUUUCCACGGAGAUUCUGCGAAAUGUGACGGACACCUUCAAAAGAGCAACCUACAUCCCAGCUCCCGACGACGUGCAGAAAUUCUUCCAGAUAGUCAGCCACAUGUUGGACAUGGAAAAUGUAGAAAAAUGGGAGGACGCUCACCAGGUCGCUCCCGGUGCUGCUUUGCUGAUGAGGAUAUUAGAAGACUUCAUUCACCUCAUCGGAGAAGCCCAGAAGCCUUUCCAGAGUUUCUUAGUGGUUACCAACAACCUCAUGAUAACCAUCCAACGAGAGCCGGUGUCAGCAGUUUCCAGUGAUAUCAACUUCCCCAUGAAGGGCCGGAGAGGGAUGAAGGACUGGGCCAGAACAGCGGAGGACAAGCUCUACAUCCCGAAAGAGGUCUUCACCAACCCGACUGAAGAGACGGAGGCGGACUCUGAGUCUACAUUGUACUAUGUCAUCGGAGCCAUCUUGUACAGGACAUUGGGCAUCAUCUUACCUGCACCAAAGCACCCUGCGGUGAUCAACUCCAAGAUCCUGACAGUGACGGUACGGCCUGAACCACAGCCCAGUGAGCCCAUGGUGGUGGUCGAGCUGUCACCGCUUAUUAAUGGUACAUCGGAUCCUCAGUGCGUUGUCUGGGACUAUGGCAACCCGGAAGCUGGCGCAGAAAACUGGGGCACAGAAGGCUGCCAAACGCUCGCGUCAACCACUGUCCACACCAAAUGCCUGUGCAGCAGGAUAUCUACCUACGCCGUGUUAGCGCAGCAAGCUAAAGACCCGGACAUGGGUCCUGCCAGCAUGCCCUCUGUGCCCCUCAUGGUGGGCUGUGGGGUCUCCUGCACAGCUCUGCUCAUCCUGCUGCUAAUCUACGCUGCCUUCUGGAGGUAUAUACGGUCGGAGAGAUCCAUCAUCUUAGUGAAUUUUUGCCUCUCCAUCUUGGCCUCCAAUUUAUUGAUUUUGGUGGGACAAUCUCAAACGCUUAGCAAGGGCCUCUGUACUGUGACUGCUGCCUUCCUGCAUUUCUUCUUCUUGGCGUCCUUCUGCUGGGUGCUGACAGAGGCGUGGCAGUCCUACCUGGCCGUCAUUGGCAAACUGAGGUCACGACUCAUUCGCAAGCGUUUUCUAUGCCUCGGCUGGGGUCUUCCAGCCCUAGUUGUAGCAGUGUCAGUGGGUUUCACCAGAGCAAGAGGUUACGGCACAGCCAGCUAUUGCUGGUUAUCCUUGGAGGGCGGGCUGCUUUAUGCCUUCGUUGGGCCGGCUGCUGUCAUUGUAUUGGUGAAUAUGCUCAUCGGAAUUGUGGUGUUUAACAAGCUCAUGUCUCGAGACGGCAUCUCAGACAAGUCUAAAAAGCAGCGAGCAGGUGUCCCAGCGGAGGCGCGUAGCCGACUGCUCCUGAAAUGCUCCAAGUGUGGCGUGAUCUCGAGCACCGCUCUGUCCAGCGCGACUGCCAGCAGUGCCAUGGCCUCUCUGUGGAGCUCCUGUGUGGUUCUUCCUUUGUUAGCAUUAACCUGGAUGUCAGCAGUGCUGGCCAUAACCGACCGGCGCUCCACACUCUUCCAGGUGCUCUUUGCCGUCUUUGACUCUGUCCAAGGUUUUGUCAUCAUUACCGUCCACUGUGCAAUGCGUCGAGAGGUGCAGGAUGCAGUGCGCUGUAGGAUGGGGGGAUGUAAAGACGACAGCGAAAACUCACCAGACUCCUGCAAGAAUGGACAGGUGCAGAUCAUGAAGUGUCCAAAUGUGAGCCAAUGCGGGCAGCAGUGUGGCUCUCUGCGUUACGGCACAGUUCUGUGUCUGCCGGGUGGCCACCCGCAGCCGCUCCCACCGAUGUGCCACCAGGCAUGCCAGCAAGCCUGUUACCACAGUCUGCCCCACAGCAACCACAACCACAACCACGGGCUAGAGCACAGCCACGCCCUCAGCCACGCGCAUGAGCAUAGCCCCAUCCUGAACAAUACCCACAACCACGCUCAUAACCAUAACCACGCCCACAACCACAUCGGCAGCCAACCAACGGAUUUUGAGAAGGAUGUGGACUUGGCAUGUCAAACAGAGAGAGGACACCCAUUCAUAUUCAAGGAGGUGAACACCUGCAACCCGGCCACCAUCACCGGGACCCUUUCCCGCAUCUCCCUGGAUGACGAGGACGAUCCCAAGCUGGCAGCCCAUCAGGAGGGAGGAGUCGGGGUGAACUUCAGCUCCCUCCCCGGGAACAUUCCCCCUCCAAACCUCAUUGUACAGAUUCCACCCCUCGGUGGCCUCAAUGAGCUGAGCGAGACACCCCUGAAGAAGGAGGUGAACGUGGAUCAGCAGAGACAGCAGGGGCAGCAACGGAGCGGCGCUCCAAUCUACCUGUGCACCGAGAGUGGCCUGGGCUGGGCUCGACCGCCCACUUCCUCCAACACCUCCCAGGACGGAAGUGCCGGAAGCGGGGGAAGCGGAGGAGGAGGGGGAGGAGGAAGUGGCGGAGGAGGGGAGGGAGACUACAUGGUCUUACCUCGUAGGACGGUGAGUCUCAAACCUCCAGUGCCCUCCUCCCAAGGAGGAGGCCUGGGACUGGGGGGUGAGGACAAGCCUCUCAACAUCGCAGUGGAGGAUCCUCCUUUCCCCCCGCCUCCCUCUCCCCUGACCCUCCACCCAGCUGAGAGCGAGGCCUACCCAGCGGAUUUUGUGCCGUCCAGUGUGGGCGACAUGAACAUCACCAUGAACCUCAACCGCUCCUAUGGGACGAUCAAAACCAUGCCCCACGGGCACGGCCACAUGAUGGCUCAGGGUGGUCUUGUACACUCCCACGGAGGACACAUGCACACCCACGGGCAUUCGCUCCAGCUGAAGCCGGGCCAGAGGCCAUCAGUCAGACAGAUUCUGACAGGGGGAACCACAGUGGAGAGAACCAGGACCCUGCCACGCAAUCUGGGCAGCACCAAUGCCAACACCAGCCUCUCUGCAGGAUCCCUGGAGAGGAAAAGAGUACGGUACUCUGAGCUGGACUUCGAGAAAGUGAUGCACACUCGCAAAAGACAUUCUGAGUUGUACCAUGAGCUCAACCACUCGUCCAAGUUCCACACCAUAGACAGGUAUAGCAGGGACCCAGCCAUGUCCACAUUCAAGGUCCCCCCUCCCCCACCACCGAGGCACAACACCGAGCCGUCACUAGUGCGCAGAACGUCCCUUGUUUACAAAGAAAGUCAACGUAAGGCAUACUAAACCCCACAUAAACCCCCGUGCAGUAGAGCCCCUCUAACUCACUCUAAGGCCGAUGAGUUGAUGCGCUACAUGACACUGUGUGUAUCUCAUAGUUUUCUGUAUCUGUGUUCCUGUGCUGCAAAAAUGUACAUUUCACAUGUCAUUAACUGUUCACUAAACAUUUCCCUCAAUUAGCAGUUGUCCAAUCACGGCUUAGCAACAGUAACUAGGCACGGUUAAUUUACCUGAGAUAGGGUUAAGUUUGCCAAACUGGAAUGCUAGCGUAAUUAGUUAACUAGCUACAGCUGAUAAAGUUUCAGCAAAGCAUUUCGGACAACAGAAUCGGUGGUCACCAGCUAAAAAUGAGAAAUCUGCUUUUGUCUAAAAUCAAGGACCCACUCCUUCAAAUUUAAGAAUUCUAAUGGUAAAUCUGCCACCAUUAUCAUGGUACACUGCAUAUGUGCUGUGCUAUAAUGGAAAGCUUGACAGGUGGGGGGUGGGGUUUACGAACAUACUCAUACAGACUGUUACUAUUUGCAGUUACAGCCACACAGACAGGGUCUAUGAGCUUACUCCCAUGCAGCUGCUCAUCUACUACCCAUCAGCGCUGUCUCAUAGUGAAGUGCCUAAAUAUUAGAUGGUCCCCUAGCGGUGUGGUGCUGUAACAGUUCAGUGCGUCACAGCUUGUACCCCCUGUGCCUGUGCAUUCAUGUAAUGAAUGCUAAUUUCCCUUCCUUCAUCAAGUCCUGUACAAAUUCAUAUUCAAAUACAAUCUGGAAUCACUGUAACCAGAGAUAUGGAUUUGUAAGGUGGUCUGAUGCAGGACUGGAUUAAUCUCCCAUGAUUAAAACAAGGACAUAGAAGGACUUUUUUUGUUGUUGUUUAGCUGUUUUAGGUUGUGUUUUUAUUUUUGUAGCACCACUGUGUGUGAUGUGACAAUCCAUACAGUCAUUGUGCCCAUUUCAGUGUCUGAAUUAAACCUUAUGAUCUAAACACCAUAACUGAGUGAUAAAUCAGUUCAUAAAGACAAUGACCCAUCCAAACCAAAUCAUAAUCACCUCAUAAAGCAUGAUAUUCUGCUCAUAAACUAGCUCAUUGGCACUAAAACGGGGCCAAACACGAUGCACUUUGUAUGGGUGCUGGUAAAAGACUAUAGGAAAUAUCACAAGGACUUAUGGGGUCAGAAGAGACUUGAUCCAUUUUACUUCUCUGGAAAGGUAGGAUUUCUGUGUUGGCCGUGUUGAGAAGAUGAGUGGAUAUCAGAAAAUGUCACACACAUGGGCACACCUAUUUCUACUUUCACAUCUUAUCCAAUUUUCUGUGUAAGUGCAGUGGGCUCAAAGUGGUCUCGGGCAUUACAUGUGCCAUCACAGAUAAAAUCCACAUAUUUCAUACUUCUUUUGAUGAUUUCUGCUUUUCUUGUCCCUCAUGCCACCUGUUAUACUGUUAUUAACUCUGUCUUGCCCGGGAACUGGUAAUCUGUAUCUUUACCACACUGAUAGCUUGAGGCUGUUAAGUGAUGACUCAGUGUUACGCCUAAUAGAUGCAAACAGAGGGGAAAGACGUGACCGGAAAGAAGGGGGUGGGAGGCAGACACUAUAUUACAAGACUCCCCAUUAACCUCAGUGUUGAAAAUAACCUUGUCUGUCGUUUCUGUUAGGCUGCUGAAGCUAGCAGAGCUAUUCCCGUAGCCUGAAAAUAAAUGUACAUGUUGCCCUCUGUUAAAAAAAUAUAUAUACAUGACCUUUGAAAAUCUAUUCGGUGAAAUGGCUUACUGGUAAACUAUGGCUAACAAAGGUCAGUUGCAGGCUGUGACAUAUUUUUCUCCUGCAGGGUUCAGACAUCUGUGCACAUUUUUAAUGCGGUAAGAUACAUAGCAACUGUUUUAUAUUCUGAAACUACAAGAGUUACAGGGGUCACUGUGAGCUUAUGUUGAUUGAUUGUGGAUUGUUAGCUGUUAUUAGACUUUGUUUACAUCGGAACAGCUUCUGACUUUAAAUUGUGUGUGUCUGUUUUGGUAUAGAUACACCGUUAUCUGCCCCCAUACGUGAAUAAUAUCUGUUGCAGUGCUACGACUCAGAUGAAGUGGAUAGAAAGUGGGCUGCUCUUUAACGCUAAUGAUGAAAACAAAUUCAAAUCCUGCUCUGUUUUAAGUACAGUGGAUGCUCUGGCAGGGGCCAUAUGGCGAGCCGGGGGAUGGAGUCCAUUUUACAUUGUGUCUCACGUAAUGGAGACAGGAUACAAAUGGAAUCAGUGGGGUUACUGAAAGACAGAGUAGAUGCAGUGUGUAUGUAACACAGUCCUCCCUGCCUGCACUAAUGUUUAGAUUUAGAACGGCUUCUUGGCCUCCGUCACUGUGGAGUUAGCCCGUCGUUCUCUAUCCUCUCCACAGGGUUCAGAAGGUCGUAACACAAAUUUGCAUGCAGUACCCAAUGAUGCAGUGUUCUGCCUCUCUGUGUGGGAUGGACGGUGUGUGUGUGUAAAAGAGAGAGAGAGCGUUAGCACUGCGUAAUGGCCUGGCUGAUGCAUUUUUUAGCUCUCAAAUGGGAUAUAUUUCCAUCCCGUCGUCUGCUGUGUUCUUGAUUAAAUGAAGCGUGCUUGGCUUCCCUCUCCAGAUAGGCAGCGAGGAGUUGUGCAGAGCGCAGUGGGAUGGAGAAAAAGACAAAGGAAACAAGUACUUUGCUUUGUUGUGAUUUCACUCAUGCUAGAUCAGAGCAGGGACAGCGAGCAAAUUUUCGAUCAUGAAAGAUGCAUUUGCUAUUCAAUCUAAGUGGCUGUAGGCGUCCUUUUGAAUCCUAUGCUGAAAGCCUGGUCUGCUAGGCUACAUAUGGAAAUACAUUGUGGUAUUGUCUAAGAGGGCUCUACCAUUAUCCUGUCCCAUAAAAGAGAGGUGAGACCUGGGGUGCUCUCUUUAUGACUCCACAGUUAACAUUAGUGUCUGUUAUUGAUAUUCCAGCGAUGUUCUUAGGCCACUGAAGGGAAAUUUAGGUAAGGUAAUGUGUAUGCUUUGAGGAUGUCUCAUGUAAAAUGAAGAUGUAUAAUUUUAAAUGACAAAAGACUCAAUUUUUGUUGAUUCAGAGGGGGCAAUUUGCCUGCACUUGCAAACCCCGUAGGUCUUGAUAGUCAAUUUGCUGGCAUUAAGCUAAGGGGCUUCAAUUUCACAUUCCAGUAAUAAACCAAGUCCUCCCCUCUUCUUCCUCUUCAUAUCUCAUUCUCCCUUCAAUUCAUCCUCACGGCUUGACAUUUUCUCUCUCCCGUCGCCCUCAUUUUCCCAUUUCUCCCUCUAAACUCAGCCUUCGGUGGCACGUUUGAGGCAUUAAUUGAAUAAUUAAUUCCUCUCAUUAGCUUGUUUUUAAUUAUUUCCUUGCCCCCCUUCUCCGUGCCGAGCAUAAACUCAUCAACUGUUUUCACCCUUCCACACAAAUUGCCCAUGAAAACUGAGGGCUGGCGGAGUGUAGCUUUAGCACACUGGCUCUAUCAGUGGCUCCUAAUGAGGGGACGGUUAGCCCAGGCGGAACAAGCCUAACACUAGCUUCAUGCACCAAGAGGCACAAUACUAAUUUAGCUCAUUUAGUGUCCUUGGGCCAAUUAAAGGGAGGUGAAAAGGGCCGAAUCGCUUGCUGGAACAGUUUUUUUUUUUACUAAAGGAACACAGGCCUUGGAUUGCAUUGCGCUGCACUGCACAGGCCCAGACAGCAGCGAACCAAGCCUGUGUGUCUGAUUGCUCGUUUGUUUGCAAUGUGUUGCACUAAUGGAAUUUAUUUGCCCUACAUUCUCUAGAUUUGGCUCCUUUGAAGGGCCUUAUUACUUGUGGCACAGAUUCAUUCCCAGCUAAGGGGUAAAUGGUGCUAAAGACUGCUAUGCCCAGUUAGUCUAUUUUUGUGCCCCCUAAUAAAUUAUGCCAGUGCUAAAUGGGAAAUCAGGAUUUGAUCAUUAUCUUGAUGAUAUAAUGAAAUAAACACACAUAGAUGGCUUCAAAUUGUCCACUUCUGCUUCAGUGACUCAAAGCCCACUGACAGCUAUAAGACUAUAGCCGUGUUCUGAUAUCCACUCAGUCUUCUUUUGAUGUUACUUUCAUUUUCUCCAUGUAUAAAUGUGAUUUUAAAUUUGUUUCAUUUGAUCCUCACACUCAUUGUACUGUUAUGUCUUUUCUUUGCCUUACUGCCACAUUUUAUUGAUUUUUGUUUUUUGUUUUUUUGUUUUCUGUUUUUAUGUCCUUUGUUGGCUGACGGGGCCUUGUGUUGCAUGCUUGUUGUCAUGUCCCAGUUUGAAUGUAGCCAGACAGUCAGCAGAACCAUGGGCAUCCAAGUCAACAAAGAGGGAAAAGCGAUGGAGCAUUUCGUCUGCCGGAGGUGAAAAGAACUCG